GGUAGUAAAAGUCGUAACAAGGUUUCCGUAGGUGAACCUGCGGAAGGAUCAUUAUUGUAUAACCGAGGUGCGAGGGCUGUCGCUGACCCGAAAGGUCGUGCACGCCCGAGUGCCCUCACACACAUCCAUCUCACCCCUAUGUGCACCACCGCGUGGGUCCCCCUUUGGCUUGUUCGGAGGGGGGCUUACGUUUUCACACAAACUUUGUAUGCAGUGUAGAAUGUAUUUUUUGUUCUUGCGAUCACGCAAUCAAUACAACUUUCAACAACGGAUCUCUUGGCUCUC
rnacentral:misc_RNA from 1 species